CAAGUUGGCGGUAGUGACUCCUUUCAGUGCCAAAUAGUUUAAGUCAUACUCAAAGCUUAGUUAUAGUUCACAGUUGUAUAUUUCACUACCAAGUUGGCGGUAGUGACUCCUUUCAGUGCCAAAUAGUUUAAGUCAUACUCAAAGCUAAGUUUCAGUUCACAGUUCUAUAAUUAACUACCAAGUUGGCGGUAGUGACUCCAUUCUGUGCCAAAUAAUUUAUAUCAUAUAACUCAAUGC
rnacentral:lncRNA from 1 species